rnacentral:rRNA from 1 species
ACGGCCAUACCAUACUGAAUAUACCGGUUCUCGUUAGAUCACCGAAGUCAAGCAUCAUUGGGCGCGGUCAGUACUUGGGUGGGUGACCACCUGGGAACACCACGUGCC